rnacentral:rRNA from 1 species
UGGUGGAGCGAUUUGUCUGGUUAAUUCCGAUAACGAACGAGACUCUAGCCUAUUAAAUAGUUCGCCGAUUCCGAUCUGUCGGCGUUAACUUCUUAGAGGGACAAGUGGCUUUUAGCCACGCGAGAUUGAGCAAUAACA